ACCUUGCGCUUGCCAGGCAGGCACUUUGCCACUGAGCUAAAUCCCCAGCCCCCGGCUCAUUACAUCUUGAGGACAAUUUGCCUCAAGAAAAUGAAAAUCUCUCUGCCACCUCCUCCUGUGCUGUUCUUUGUUGAGGACAGAAAGAACCUAGACACCAACUCUAGAAGAAGACUCCAGCACCCCAAGCUGGUAAGUCACAGAUGCCAGGUGUUUUGCGCAAGCGAUUGAAAGCUGACCAAUACAGGAGUGGAGUGACUUCAUGGGGCGGCUGGAGAGAGAUGAGGAGUGAAUGUCUUCCACACUUGUCAAAUCCACAUCAAUGUUUGGAAAAGCUGGCGUCACAACAGCGCUGACUUUGGAGGAAAGAGAAGGCAAGAAAGAGAAAAAAAGAAGAAGAAAGACCAACCUUAAAAACUUAGGCUACUGACAGUCUUUGUCCAGUGGGCAUCAGGCGAUAAAUACAGAACACUAUUCUAACCAUGUAGUAAGCAUUCAAUAAUUCAUUGAUGGGGACAAGUAUUAGAUCAAUUGUCUUUUAGGCCUCUGGUUGCU
rnacentral:lncRNA from 1 species